CUCUGAUGUCUAAUGAGGUGAGAAUGUGAAGUAAAGGCUUUGCCACGAUCAUCACACUUGCGAGGUUUCUCUCCUGUAUGAAUUCUCCUAUGUUUUGCAAAGGAUGAAGCUUGACUGAAGACCUUGCCACAAUCAUGACAUUUGUAAGGUUUCUCUCCAGCAUGAGUUCGCCCAUGAACUGCAAGGUAUGAACGAUGUCUGAAAAAUUUGCCACAUUUAUCACACUUGUAAGAUCUCUCUUUAUUAUGGAUUCUCCAAUGAUUUGCAAUAGUUGUAGUAUUACUGAAGACGUGGUGACAAUCAUUACAUUUGUAAAGUUUCCCUCUGCCAUGGAUUGCUUGAUGGUAAAUAAGCGCUGACUGCCUAUGAAAGGUUUUGCCACACUCAUUGCACUUCUAAGGUUUCUCUCCAGUAUGACGUCUAUGAUGGCAUGUGUUAACUCCUUACUGAAGGUCUUGCCACACUCAUUACGCUUCUAAGAUUUAUUUCCAGUAUGAAGUCUAUGAUGGCAUGUAAGGCAUGACUUCUGACUGAAGGUCUUGCCACACUCAUUACACUUGUAUGGUUUCUCUCCAUUAUGAAUUCUCCUAUGUCUUUCAAGGUUUGAUUUGAAUCGGAAAGUUUCAUCACAUUCUUCACACUUGUAGGGUUUCUCUCCAGUAUGAAGUCUACGAUGGCAUGUAAGAGUUGACAUAUGACUGAAGGUCUUGCCACAAUCAUUACACUUGUAUGGUUUCUCUCCAGUAUGAGUUAUCCUAUGACUUUCAAGGUUUGAUUUGAAACUGAAAGCUUUGUCACAUUCUUCACAUUCGUAAGGUUUCUUUCCAGUAUGAAUGCUACGAUGGCAUGCGAGGUAUGACUUCUGACUAAAGGUCUUGCCACACUCAUUACACUUGUGUGGUUUCUCUCCAGUAUGAAUUCUCC
rnacentral:lncRNA from 1 species